rnacentral:rRNA from 1 species
AUUGAACGCUGGCGGCAUGCCUUACACAUGCAAGUCGAACGGCAGCGACGGGGCAACCUGGUGGCGAGUGGCGAACGGGUGAGUAAUGCAUCGGAACGUGCCAUUGAGUGGGGGAUAACGUAGCGAAAGUUGCGCUAAUACCGCAUAUUCUGUGAGCAGGAAAGCAGGGGACCGCAAGGCCUUGCGCUCUUUGAGCGGCCGAUGUCAGAUUAGCUAGUUGGUGAGGUAACGGCUUACCAAGGCGACGAUCUGUAGCGGGUCUGAGAGGAUGAUCCGCACACUGGAACUGAGACACGGUCCAGACUCCUACGGGAGGCAGCAGUGGGGAAUUUUGGACAAUGGGCGCAAGCCUGAUCCAGCCAUGCCG